AAGAACCCCGGGAGGGGAGUGAAAUAGAACAUGAAACCUUAAGCUUACAAGCAGUAGGAGGACGACUUAUCGUUUGACUGCGUGCCUGUUGAAGAAUGAGCCGGCGACUUAUAGUUAGUGGCAGGUUAAGGUAGAGAAUACUGGAGCCACAGUGAAAGCGAGCUUUAAUAGAGCGUGUGUCACUAGUUAUAGACCCGAACCCGGAUGAUCUAACCAUGGCCAGGAUGAAGCCUAGGUAAUACUAUGUGGAGGUCCGAACCGACUGAUGUUGAAAAAUCAGCGGAUGAGUUGUGGUUAGGGGUGAAAUACCAAUCGAAUUCGGAGCUAGCUGGUUCUCCCCGAAAUGUGUUUAGGCGCAGCGGUUAAUAUUAUAGCUUAGAGGUAAAGCACUGUUUCGGUGCGGGCUGGUAAUUCGGUACCAAAUCGAGGCAAACUCUGAAUACUAAGUGAACAGUUAACCAGUAAGACUGUGGGGGAUAAGCUCCAUUGUCAAGAGGGAAACAGCCCAGAGCACCAGUUAAGGCCCUUAAAUAAUUACUAAGUGAUAAAGGAGGUGGGAGUGCAUAAACAAUCAGGAGGUUUGCUUAGAAGCAGCAAUCCUUUAAAGAGUGCGUAAUAGCUC
rnacentral:rRNA from 1 species